rfam:Felis catus isolate Cinnamon breed Abyssinian chromosome A3, whole genome shotgun sequence.
GCCUGGGUGGCUCAGUCGGUUGAGCGUCUGACUUCGGCUCAGGUCAUGAUCUCACGGUCCGUGAGUUCAAGCCCCACGUCGGGCU